rnacentral:pre_miRNA from 1 species
UUUCACUUGAUUAGUUCCUUCAUGAGUUAUUGCAAGUAAUCUCCAAAUUUCCUUAGCGGAUUUACAUUGACAUAUUCUAUUAUAUUCAUUCCUAUCCAUAGCACAUUGCAAAGUAAAAACGACUUUAGCAUUUAAUUGAAAAUUUCUUCUAUCAAGCUCAUUCCAUUCUUGCUUGGGUUUUGGAACCAAAAUUCCAUCAACUAAUUUAGUGGGUAAAGUUGGGCCAUCUUCAAUGGCAUCCCAUACAUCUAAAUCAGUUGAUUGUAAGUACCAAGUCAUUCUAGCUUUCCAAUAGGGAUAGUCGGUUCCCGUAAAGAAUGGAGCUCUAUGUUUUGAACAAUUUUCAGUUUGAGAUGAGCUUGAUGGAAUAGCCAUUUUCCUCUUAGAUGAUUAAGUCUUAAGCAAGAGGUCUAGCUCUGAUACCAAUUGAUAAAACAAAGGC